rnacentral:pre_miRNA from 1 species
AGGUUGGGAUCGGUUGCAAUGCUGUGUUUCUCUAUGGUAUUGCACUUGUCCCGGCCUGU